GCGACCUUACCACGUUGAAAACCCGGCUCUCGUCUGAUCACAGAGGUUGAGCUUUUUCGGGCCUGGCCAAUGUUUGGAUGAGUGACUGGCUGGGUAUGUCAGGUGUCGCCGUCGUU
rnacentral:rRNA from 1 species